rnacentral:rRNA from 1 species
GACGAACGCUGGCGGCGUGCUUAACACAUGCAAGUCGAACGGAAAGGCCCUGCUUUUGUGGGGUGCUCGAGUGGCGAACGGGUGAGUAACACGUGAGUAACCUGCCCUUGACUUUGGUAUAACUUCAGGAAACUGGGGCUAAUACCGGAUAGGAGCUCCUGCUGCAUGGUGGGGGUUGGAAAGUUUCGGCGGUUGGGGAUGGACUCGCGGCUUAUCAGCUUGUUGGUGGGGUAGUGGCUUACCAAGGCUUUGACGGGUAGCCGGCCUGGGAGGGUGACCGGACACAUUGGGACUGAGAUACGGCCCAGACUCCUACGGGAGGCAGCAGUGGGGAAUAUUGCACAAUGGGCGGAAGCCUGAUGCAGCAACGCCGCGUGCGGGAUGACGGCCUUCGGGUUGUAAACCGCUUUCGCCUGUGACGAAGCGUGAGUGACGGUAAUGGGUAAAGAAGCACCGGCUAACUACGUG